GAUGUUCUAACGUGGACCCGUAAUCCGGGUUGCGGACAGUGUCUGGUGGGUAGUUUGACUGGGGCGGUCUCCUCCUAAAGAGUAACGGAGGAGCACGAAGGUUGGCUAAUCCUGGUCGGACAUCAGGAGGUUAGUGCAAUGGCAUAAGCCAGCUUGACUGCGAGCGUGACGGCGCGAGCAGGUGCGAAAGCAGGUCAUAGUGAUCCGGUGGUUCUGAAUGGAAGGGCCAUCGCUCAACGGAUAAAAGGUACUCCGGGGAUAACAGGCUGAUACCGCCCAAGAGUUCAUAUCGACGGCGGUGUUUGGCACCUCGAUGUCGGCUCAUCACAUCCUGGGGCUGAAGUAGGUCCCAAGGGUAUGGCUGUUCGCCAUUUAAAGUGGUACGCGAGCUGGGUUUAGAACGUCGUGAGACAGUUCGGUCCCUAUCUGCCGUGGGCGCUGGAGAACUGAGGGGGGCUGCUCCUAGUACGAGAGGACCGGAGUGGACGCAUCACUGGUGUUCGGGUUGUCAUGCCAAUGGCACUGCCCGGUAGCUAAAUGCGGAAGAGAUAAGUGCUGAAAGCAUCUAAGCACGAAACUUGCCCCGAGAUGAGUUCUCCCUGAGACUUAGAGUCUCCUGAAGGAACGUUGAAGACGACGACGUUGAUAGGCCGGGUGUGUAAGCGCAGCGAUGCGUUGAGCUAACCGGUACUAAUGAACCGUGAGGCUUAACCUUACAACGCCGAAG
rnacentral:rRNA from 1 species